rnacentral:rRNA from 1 species
AUUGAACGCUGGCGGAAUGCUUUACACAUGCAAGUCGAACGGCAGCACGGACUUCGGUCUGGUGGCGAGUGGCGAACGGGUGAGUAAUGUAUCGGAACGUGGCCAGUCGUGGGGGAUAACGUAGUGAAAAUUACGCUAAUACCGCAUACGAUCUAUGGAUGAAAGCGGGGGAUCGCAAGACCUCGCGCGCUUGGAGCGGCCGAUAUCAGAUUAGGUAGUUGGUGGGGUAAAGGCCCACAAAGCCAACGAUCUGUAGCUGGUCUGAGAGGACGACCAGCCACACUGGAACUGAGACACGUUCCAGACUCCUACGGGAGGCAGCAGUGGGGAAUUUUGGACAAUGGGCGAAAGCCUGAUCCAGCCAUUCCGCGUGCAGGAUGAAGGCCCUCGGGUUGUAAACUGCUUUUGUACAGAACGAAAAGGUUUCUACUAAUACUAGGAGCUCAUGACGGUACUGUAAGAAUAAGCACCGGCUAACUACGUGCCAGCAGCCGCAGUAA